GAUGAACGCUGGCGGCGUGCCUAAUACAUGCAAGUCGAGCGAACAGACGAGGAGCUUGCUCCUCUGACGUUAGCGGCGGACGGGUGAGUAACACGUGGAUAACCUACCUAUAAGACUUGGAUAACUUCGGGAAACCGGAGCUAAUACCGGAUAAUAUAUUGAACCGCAUGGUUCAAUAGUGAAAGACGGUUUUGCUGUAACUUAUAGAUGGAUCCGCGCCGCAUUAGCUAGUUGGUAAGGUAACGGCUUACCAAGGCAACGAUGCGUAGCCGACCUGAGAGGGUGAUCGGCCACACUAGAACUGAGACACGGUCCAGACUCCUACGGGAGGCAGCAGUAGGGAUUCUUCCGAAAUGGACGAAAGCCUGACGGAGCAACGCCGCGUGAGUGAUGAAGGUCUUCGGAUCGUAAAACUCUGUUAUUAGGGAAGAACAAAUGUGUAAGUAACUAUGCACGUCUUGACGGUACCUAAUCAGAAAGCCACGGCUAACUACGUG
rnacentral:rRNA from 1 species